AAUACGGAGCCUGAGUAAAAGGGAUAUCUUGAUGUGAUAUAUAUUGUAAACUAUUACCUGUAUUG
rnacentral:tRNA from 1 species